UGCACCAAGUUCAAGAAGAUGAAAUUAUCUCAACAUAUUUAUUUAUGUUCUUAAUUGGAUCUGUCUCACUGUCUGCUGUCAUCUUUCUUCUCAUUUACAGAUACAGAGUUUACAUAGUGGCAAUUUUUGUCACCAUUGGGAUCAUCCUUAUUGUUAAAGGCAGCAAAGCUGAAGAGAAAAAAGAGAAGUGGUUACCGUCCACACUUGAUGAAAGUAAAGAAGAACGACAUAAUCAGGAAAAUGAACUUCAUAAGAUGAAAAAAGAGACAGAAAAAGAAAAAGGUAAACUUAAAGGAAAACUUUAACAAUUCAUGCCAAAAGUGUCAAAAAAUAUAUAUAUAAUAUUGGAGAAUGUGCUGCACAAAAUCAACAUAUUUUAUGAGAUAUUAGUUAAUUUAAAAAGACAGAGUUUGGCAUUCCAACAAUUAAUGACUUGGGAUCAGAACCAAUGUAGAUCUGGUGGAGAAUACAGAUUCUUGUAGUUUGUGGACUUCAGCACAUAUGUGUCUGUAAAAAAAAUAAAUCGCAGUUUUAUGCUUGUUUGGCAUUUCAAAAUAGCAUGAGGCCACUAGUUUAGUACAACCAGAAUGCAAAGAUUUCUAGGGACCAAACUGGUUUUUAAACUUCUUUAAGAAAAAUGUCAAUAUUAACCCUGUCUUUAACCCUACUUUGUAAAUCAUAAAACAGCAACUUUUACAUUUCCAGUUGAAAUUAUGUUAA